rnacentral:sRNA from 1 species
UAUUUUAACAAAGGCUAUAUUUGUAUCAAGUUUCAGGAUUCAAGUCUGACGUGACAGUUCCCGUUGACAAUAAUGAAGAGUCUCUGGCACGUUCGGAUUCUUACGAAAAUUUCCAUGAAGCCUUGGAGUCUGUAGAUGCUUUAGACUUGAAUCAAAACGGAAUAUCAUCAUCACAAGUCCCCGUGAAUAAAAGUAAAGUGAUUAGCAAUAUCCACACUGUAGACCACAGCAAAGCGCCAGACGGAAGCCUCUACGCCACUGUCACCAAGAGGGCAACACCCACCUCAUCAGUCCCACCGUCAUCAGCCGACCAUUACUUUGGCCCCUCCCACAUAACCAAUGGCUCCAUUUCCUCCAAUAUAAACUCUGGCUUUGCAGGCCACAACACAAGC